UGAACUUAGAAGUCAGGAUGAUUCACGCCGGAUAUAAAGAAAAUGAAUUUAUUUUAAUUCCAACAAAAGUGUUUUAAAAAAAAAAACAUUUGUAAAUUUAGUUAUUAAAUUUAUGUGCGUCGCAUAUUUAUUUAAUUUAGCAUUCAAAGUAUUUUCACGAGCUUUUAUUUAAGCAAACACUGAAUGAUUAUUACAGUUUUCAUAGUACAACCUGGAAGACUUUUUAUUUUAUUUUAUUUUAUUUUAUUUUAUUUUUAUUCCCACACCUACUCCCUCACCUAACAUACGCCACCUACCCCUUAAAAUAAGCUCCCACCUACUCCCUCAUUUUUUCAAACUUAACAUCACAUACCCUCAAAGACCUCUUGCACACUUCACACCAUUGGACAAAUUCAAAGUUUACUUCAGCUAAAAUCUUCUUUCUUUCGUUCACACAAAUUAUCCUUGCAAGAAAAAGAACUCAAGCUUAAGAGAUUACAACAUCCAAAACUAUUCAAGGUUUAACUCUUUAAACUCCAUUAUUUGUGUUGCUGCAUGUUUAAAGCAUUCAUUUUUAUGUUUCAUACUUAAAACAUUCGAAACUUUUUCCCAAACAGAGAGACACAAACACACAUUCAUUUCAUCAUCCCAUCGAUAUAUAUAUAUGCAUAUGUGUAUUUCAAUAUAAUAAUAUGAUGUUUAUACAUAAGAACAAUAUAUAUAUAUAUAUAUAUAUAUAUAUAUAUAUAUGUUUACAUACAAGGCAUGAGUCUGUAUUUGAAAGAAAAGAGAAGAAGUAGAACUAUGUUUUUCCCUUUUGUUGUUGGUAUCGUAUGUGUGGUGGGCCGAGUCGAGCGGCGUCGGGAUGGCGGCGAGCUCGCUGCCGGCCAUCCGGCCAAGGGUAGGAGAGGGAGGCCGCGGCACGGCGGCUCUGCCCGCUGCUGUCGGGCCGAGGACGGAGAGAGAGAGGGGGGUGGAGAGAGAUGGGCGGCUGUGGGUUCAGCGGAGGGAGGCAGGGCACGGCGGCGGUGCCGCUGCUGCCCGGCCACGGCUGGAGAGAGAGAGGUGGUCUGGUCCGGGCUGAUUUGCGUCGAGGUCAGGACGGCGGCAGCUAUGGGUUGUUGUCGCCGAGCGAGAGGCCGAGGGAGGCGGCGGCGUUUUCGUCGUCGCCAAGGAGGAGAGAGAACAGAGGGAGAUCGACGGGUGGCUAGGUCAGAGGGAGAUGAGGCCGGUCGCCGGCUGUCUCGCCGGAAGGAGCCGCGGCCGUGAAAUGUGACCGAGAGAGAGAGUGAUAUUGUAGUUGUUUGUGUAUGUGUGUGAGCGGCUGAGAGGGGGGAAAGAAAAGGGAGAAGAGGCUAGGUGUUGGGCUAGGGCUUGUUUGGGGUGGGCUUGAGUGUUGGGCUUUAGGUUUGGGUUUAGAGUGGGCUCGAGUCAUGGGCCGAAUUUCAAUUAGUCAUGGGCCGAAUUUCAAUUAGUUUUGGGCCGAGUCAUGGGCCGAAUUUUUAUGAGUAUUUGGGCUGAGAUUUUUAUUUAUUUUUAUUUCAGUUGGGCCUUUAAUUAUUAAAUCUAUUGGGCCUUUAUUAAUUUAUUUAAUUGGGCUGUGCAGUUUCUUUAUUUAAAAUGGAUUACAUUAUUUAAUUAAUUAGACUUAUUAAGUUUGAUUAAUUAUUUUCAAAGACUAGUUUUCAUAAUAAUAUUAAAUUAUUAUUAUGUGCAUAUUAUAAGUAAUUACUUAUUAUAUGUUAAGCAUGACAUGAAAUUGCAUUAUAUUUUGCAAUAAAAAGUAUUUAUGAUUUAAUUGGUUUUAUUUAUAAUUCCAAUUAUUAAAGAAAGAUGAGUAAGAAUAUUGUUGGUGUUCUUAACUCAAGAGAAAUGUUUUCAAUUAUUUAUUUAUUAAAUUUUGAAAACCCGGCUAAGUGAAUUAUAGAAUAUUAAGCACUACACCAUGACGUAAGAUUAGCUUCACGAGACCUAUUAAGAAUAGAAUUUCUUGUAGGCUUUGUGACCAGGGGGAUUAGCGCUGCUUUCCCAAGACAGGUUUAUAUGUGAUUAUGAUCUUCAGGCUUUGCCUAACCAGGUGGGCUUACUUUCCAAAUGUAUAAAGUAUGAUUGAGUUAUUAAGCUCUAAAUGUUUCAAUGAAAUGCAAAUUAUUUAUUUAAUGUAAUGAAAACUGUUUAUCCAAUAAAAUAUUUUGUGCACUCUGCUCUGUUUAAGGCUCGCAUAAGUUAAUCGAUCGAGGUUCUCUUAUGACCUAACACGUUGUUUGAGAAUUGUGUACACCUAUUAGCUGACUCGGUGGGUUGAUCUCCAUUCGGGCACUAAUCAUGUAUGAGGCGUUAUAAGGGUGCUCGACGGGAUGUGUUCCGGAGCAUUGGGUCCCAAAUGGGAACUUGACUGGGUUACGCCCUCAGUUCAAGUAAGCAGGAGAAAUGGAUCCGUCGGUGGCUAAAAGGUCCGGGAUCACAGCGAGUAACGGAAAGGGAGUGUGACAUGUGCGCACAAAUGAAAAAUGUUUUAACAUGCUUAGAAGUUAUUUCAUUUUAAAAACCUUCUAAGUCAUGUCAAGUAUAAUUGGAUAAACUGCUCUUACGAAAAUAUGAAAUGUUUAUGAAAAUGCAUGCCCACUAAGUACAUUAGUACUUAGCCCAAAAAUACUUUCAAAUGUUUUCAGGUUGGCUGGCUGGUGCUGACGGGACGGAGCUGAGGCUAGAGUUAANAUACAUAUGUUAGACUUCCGCUGUAGCAAUUACUCUUAUACAUCUUUUGUUUUCUCAACUUAAGAUGACUUCAUGUCGAGCUUAAAUUUGAAAUUCUAGUUUUAUGCUAAUGAAUGUUGGUUGUCAGAAACAUGAAACAAAACUUGUGAUCCAAAGGGGCAUAGCCCGACUUUCUAUCCUAUUUCGGGUUUUUACAAGGUUGUUCCUUGUUUAUUUCUAUGAAUUAGUUACACCUCGAUUAUAUUUAUUCAAUCAAGAAUUGGGCUGUGACACAGGCUGAUGGCCAACAGGAGGCGGAAGAUCACCCAGCUAUUUUCGACCGGCAGAGGUCGCCGUCUCCAGUUUCGGGACUGCACACACCGAAGGGCAGAUUACACCAAGAGAUUGAUGGUGAUUGCUCUCAGAAGUCCGAACAACUUGUUAUUACCAGAGAGAGGUCUGAUGCUAGGCAACAACCGGGGGAGGAGCGGCAGCGGACGUCUGACUUUAAGCAGCAAUUUAAGCCUCAUAACCAUAACAACGAUGUGGAAAACAUUACUUCUCCCUUGGAAAAGCAACAGUCGAGCAUGGAGAUGCAGCAGGUGACGAUUUCCGAACAGCAGCUUGUACAUCAGAUUGAUGAUCAGAACGCAGCUACUAGCCAACGGGACAGGUAUGAUUAGGGGAUGAUUUCGUAUAGUCGGCGAACGAAGGCUUUGGCUCUUGAAAAUCAAAUAAAAGUUUAGAGAGUUGCCUCUUCGGUUUUGCAAACUUCUUCGGAGCAACCUAAAAGGCCGAGAGGAAGACCUCCCAAGUCGGAGCAAACUCGUAAGCCUUUUGUGGAGAAUAGUAUUAAAGGACGUUUAAGGAAGCCUCCGGAGGCACCCAAUCUCAGAUCUGAACAGAUUAUUCAAAAUAAGAUCAAAGCUUCUUAUGAUGCAGGUAAUAAUCCUAGAGAUUAUGUGGUGGAUAGAAGCGGAUCUUCCAGUGCUAGAUCCAUGAGUAACAUUGCUUCGCAAAGCUGGGCGGAUGAAGUUGAAGCGGGGAAUAACCCCGCCUUUUAAUCUUAGCUCCAUGAAUGUUCUUGCUUGGAACGUCCGUGGUCUGACGGACGAAUCUAAGCGUCUCCUUUGGGAGCAUUGUCGUACUUUCUCUCCUAUUAUUGUUGGUAUUAUUGAGCCGAAGUCGAAUUUUAGAAAUACUAACUCCAAUUAUUGGUCUUCUCUUAAUUUGGUCCCUGCUUUUCAGAAUGAGCGGCAUGACAGGUGUUCGAACAUUUGGGUUUUACAUCACCCUGAAGUGGCGUUCAGAUUGGUGUUUUCUUCAGAGCAGACGGUCAUUGCGGAUUGCCAUUGGAACUCUUUUGAUUUCUGGGUGGCGAUUGUUCACGGUGCUUCUACUCAUGUCGAGAGGAGGUCUUUGUGGGCUGAUCUCAUUAAUUUUACUGCUGACAGUAUGGUGAUUUUAAGGGAUUUUAAUACUGUUAAAGGCGCCCACGAGAGGAUCAGUAGUUGUAUGCCUAGUCAGACUUCUUGCAGAGAGUUCUGUGACUUUAUUGAUGACACUGGUUUUAUUGAGUCGGCUGCUUCUGGACUUCGGUUUACUUGGUCUGGUCGGCGUUUUAUGCCUCGAAAUGUGGAGUCUUUUCUUGAUCGUGCUUUAUACUCUGAGUCGUUCUCUUCUUUGUGGCAUUCUGUUCAUACUCUGAACUUGGCUAGAUUGACUUCUGAUCACUCUCCGAUUGUGUUUCAGUGCAGUUUACCGCCCCAGACCAUACAUAGAUUUUUCAGAUUUUUAAAGAUGUGGGNAGCUGAGACUAGAGAUAAAUUCCUAUGUUAGACUUCCGCUGUAGCAAUUACUCUUAUACAUCUUUUGUUUUCUCAACUUAAGAUGACUUCAUUUGAGCUUCAAUUUAAAAUUUAUAGUUUUAUGUUAAUGAACGUCGGUUGUCAGAAGCAUGAAACAAAACUUGUGAUCCAAAGGGGCCUAGCCUGACUUUCUAUCCUAUUUCGGGUUUUAACAAGGUUGUUCCUUGUUUAUUUCUAUGAAUUAGUUGCACCUCGAUUAUAUUUAUUCCUUCAAGAAUUGGGGUGUGACACUCGUGGACCGGUCCGAUUAACUCGUCAAUUCGAGAGGGUUAGGGCUGAAAAUUUUCAAUCCAAUAAAAAUUACAAUCCGAUUAGCCUGUAGCUGAAUAGCCCUGCACCCGAUAGGGUCGGCCCGAAAUUAACCCGAAACUCUAUAGGGUUGACUCGAAAAUAAUGUGUUUGUUUGAUUAACCCG
rnacentral:lncRNA from 1 species